GUAGAUGUAGUUUAAUCAAAACACUAGAUUGUGAUUCUAGAAACAGGGGUUAAAACCUCCUCAUCCACC
rnacentral:tRNA from 2 species